GCCCGUGUGGCUCAGGGGUAGAGCAAUGCACUCGUAAUGCAUGGGUCAGCGGUUCAAAUCCGCUCACGGGCU
rnacentral:tRNA from 2 species